rnacentral:rRNA from 1 species
AACGAACGCUGGCGGCAGGCCUAACACAUGCAAGUCGAACGCCCUAGCGAUAGGGAGUGGCAGACGGGUGAGUAACACGUGGGAACCUUCCCUAUAGUACGGAAUAGCCCAGGGAAACUUGGAGUAAUACCGUAUACGCCCGAGAGGGGAAAGAUUUAUCGUUAUAGGAGGGGCCCGCGUCGGAUUAGCUAGUUGGUGAGGUAACGGCUCACCAAGGCAACGAUCCGUAGCUGGUUUGAGGGAAUGACCAGCCACACUGGGACUGAGACACGGCCCAGACUCCUACGGGAGGCAGCAGUGGGGAAUCUUGGACAAUGGGCGCAAGCCUGAUCCAGCCAUGCCGCGUGAGUGAUGAAGGCCCUAGGGUUGUAAAGCUCUUUUGUCGGGGACGAUAAUGACGGUACCCGAAGAAUAAGCUCCGGCUAACCUCGUGCCAGCAGCCGCCGCAG